GUGAUCGUAUUAGACAGUAUUGAUGUGCAGACUGUAGAAAGCAUAUGCUGUUGUAAAAGUGACUACUUUCAACACAGAAGAACCUAUUAUAUACAAUUAAAUAUAGAUGCAGUAUUUUUCCAGGUUGUUGAGACAUGUCCUUCAUUUACUCUAAAUUUUAGGUCUGAAUCAUCAAAUGUAACAGAUGAUUUUAUUCAUUUAUUGAAUCAGUAUGUCUGUUACGCACAAGGCGACGCUACUAGCUUGAACCCCUUAUGCUGUACUACUACAUCUGCAACAUCAUUAGGGCUCUUGAAAAUUAGGCUUUUAAGAUAUUUAUUCAUAAGCUAUUAUUAAAGCAAAAAUGUUUUACAGCAUGAGUUCACGUGAGUUUGUUUUUUCUGGAUUGUUUUUUGGAGGGUGGUAAAGUGAAGCAGUGGUUAGUGCUGCUGCCUCACAGUUCUUUGUUCUCUAGUUUGGCUUUCGUCUGGAUUUCCUUCUGUGUAGAAUUUGCAUAUCCUCUGUAGUUUCACAUGGAGUUUUGCCAGGUGCUUUGUUUUCUUUCCAUAUCCCAAAGAUAUGCUAUAAGUGAAUUGUCAGUCUUGCAGAUUGCCCAUAUUGUGUGUGUGGCACGUAUGUAUGUAUGAAUGUAUAUUUUUGUGUGUGUGUGUCCUGAGAUAAACUGGUGACUGAUAAUGUUGAAUAUCUCUUCUUUAAAUGUCUGCACUACUCCAUUUUAAAGUGUUUGUUUACUUGUGUUUGCAGUACAAUUUAAAUGUAGUACACAGUUUACAAAUAUGCUUUAGGCCUUCAUUCUGUAUAAAGGUAUCUUAGAACUAUUGCUACUGUUUCACAGAUAUCUUGCUGACGCCAUUUAAGAAAGGAGAAAACUUUAGAAAGGCCAGCCAAGACACAUAUUUCUAUCAAAACUAUGAGAAUAUUCUUCUUACUCCUGCCAGGAAAACUUCCAGUACUUUAAACUUUCCAGAACAUAAAAAGAUGUAUGGGAGUGAUGAUUGCAUCCAAUAAGAUAAUUAAGAACUCAAAAGGUCCAUGGGAAUACUCUUAAUGCAUUCAAGCAGUAUGGAACAGACUCAACCACUGGGAGAUAAACUCAAUGGCAGUCUACGGUAGUUUUGUCAUUAUAGUACAAACUCUUCCACUACCACCAGCAGAGGAGUCUAUAUUCAUAAUAUCAAGCAGCAGUGAUGUAGCAACUAAUAAAACUGCUCCUUAAAUUUCCUUAAUUUACCCUGCACCAUUACCUAA